CUGGAUAUUUUGGAAGAGGAUGCGAAUCCUGCCCAGUAGGAUGUUGGAAUAACACGUGUCCGACAAGCAGCGGAUCCUGUACACGGGGAUGCAGCCAAGGAUUGUAUGGACAAUAUUGUAACAUGUCUUGUGAUGUGUGCCUGGAUGGGGAGUGUCUGCAGAUGACAGGCACGUACAUCAAAGGCUGUCACGUGACUGGACGUGGAUGUAAUUCUACCUGCAGGAACUGUUCCAUUGCUGAUUGCACUGCUCAAUCAUGUGAAGGUUGGCCUGGUGAACGCUACAACAGAGGUUUCAAACUGUGGGCAGUAUCAGGGAUGUUUGGUUUCAUCAUCAGCAUGUUAAUUUGCAUCAUAUUCCUAAAGCGUAAAAUCUAACAGGGAAGUGACGGUCACGAGUCAACAAGAAUUCAACGUCAGAAGGUUCAGGCAGCUACAUGACUCGGAUCACUUACACAGCGACAUCAACGAGGGAAGACAUGAUCACGUUAUAGUCAGAAUAAUACACAGAACCAGACCAACAUGUAUGUUAGGGCUGGCUAUCGAUAUAAAUAUAAUUUAAUAACUAUAUUACGUACUCAGUAUAAUUUCUGCAAGAUAUUUGAGUUGAAAUAACAAAAUAUAUAAUUCCUUGGAGACUGAACCUUGUCAUUAGAUAUAUAUAUAUGGCAUCCGAUUUAUUUUAUUGCAUUUUAUUUUAUUGCAUUGCCAAACAAAAUCCCAUCUACAUUCUUGCCAUUGAAACAAAAUUAAAACAAAGUUUGCAUAUAUCACGGCAAACUUUGCUACCU